rnacentral:rRNA from 1 species
UACAGAGGGUGCAAGCGUUAAUCGGAAUUACUGGGCGUAAAGCGUGCGUAGACGGUUAUGUAAGUCAGGUGUGAAAGCCCCGGGCUCAACCUGGGAAUUGCAUUUGAGACUGCAUAGCUAGGGUGCGGAAGAGGGAAGCGGAAUUUCCGGUGUAGCGCUGAAAUGCGUAGAUAUCGGAAGGAACACCAGUGGCGAAAGCGGCUUCCUGGUCCAGCACCGACGUUCAGGCACGAAAGCGUGGGGAGCAAACAGG